AAGCUUUUGAAUCUUGUUCAUAACCAUUGGAUUUUGCAUGUGUUUUUGUGAUGCGCUUGGAUUCUCCUGAAGAUCGCUCAGUACCUGUUUGGAGAAGAAAGGUUUCAGGUGGUUAAGAGGAUCUGUAAGGAUGUUCUGGAUUUCUGGGUCUUGCAUCCCCUUUGCCUACACAAACAAAAGGAGAAAUCCAAGUUUGCUUCCUGGGAGUAAGGUCCCCGCGAUUAGCCUUGUUGAUUUGUUGUACACAUCUGCACAUUUGAACGACAUUAAGCAAAUUCAUGGAUCAUGCUUGAGCCCCUCUUGGUAUGUUUCCAUUGCGUUGUCAUACUCCUUCAGGAAGAAUUGGACUGCAGCUUUUCUG